AUGUGGGGUAGGGGAGCGUUCUGUAAGCCGUCGAAGGUGUGUUGAGAAGCAUGCUGGAGGUAUCAGAAGUGCGAAUGCUGACAUGAGUAACGAUAAGGGGAGUGAAAAACUCCCCCGCCGGAAGAUCAAGGGUUCCUGUCCAACGCUAAUCGGGACAGGGUUAGUCGGCCCCUAAGGCGAGGCAGAAAUGCGUAGUCGAUGGGAAACAGGUUAAUAUUCCUGUACCUCUUUUUACUGCGAUGGGGGGACGGAGAAGGCUAGAGCAGCACGGCGUUGGUUGUCCGUGUUUAAGGUCGUAGGCUGGUGUCUUAGGUAAAUCCGGGAUGCUAAGGCUGAGAACUGAUGACGAGUGUUCUUCGGAACAUGAAGUGCUUGAUGCCAUGCUUCCAAGAAAAGCCUCUAAGCUUCAGGUAAAAAGAGACCGUACUCCAAACCGACACAGGUGUUCAGGCAGAAUACCAAGGCGCUUGAGAGAACUCGGGUGAAGGAACUAGGCAAAAUGGCACCGUAACUUCGGGAGAAGGUGCACCGCUUUUGGUGAUGGGAUUUACUCCCUAAGCUGAGGGCGGUCGAAGAUACCAGGCCCCUGCAACUGUUUAUUAAAAACACAGCACUCUGCAAACACGUAAGUGGACGUAUAGGGUGUGACGCCUGCCCGGUGCCGGAAGGUUAAUUGAUGGGGUUAGCGCAAGCGAAGCUCUUGAUCGAAGCCCCGGUAAACGGCAGCCGUAACAAUAACGGUCCUAAGGUAGCGAAAUUCCUUGUCGGGUAAGUUCCGACCUGCACGAAUGGCGUAAUGAUGGGGGCGCUGUCUCCACCCGAGACUCAGUGAAAUUGAAAUCGCGGUUAAGAUGCCGUGUACCCGCGGCUAGACGGAAAGACCCCGUGAACCUUUACUAUAGCUUUGCACUGAACUUUGAACCUAUCUGUGUAGGAUAGGUGGGAGGCUUUGAAGUCGAGACGCUAGUUUCGAUGGAGCCGUCCUUGAAAUACCACCCUGGUAUGUUUGAGGUUCUAACGUCGGCCCCUUAUCGGGGUUACGGACAGUGUAUGGUGGGUAGUUUGACUGGGGCGGUCUCCUCCCAAAGAGUAACGGAGGAGCACGAAGGUGUGCUAAUCAUGGUCGGAAAUCAUGAGGUUAGUGUAAAGGCAAAAGCACGCUUGACUGCGAGACAGACAUGUCGAGCAGGUACGAAAGUAGGUCUUAGUGAUCCGGUGGUUCUGUAUGGAAGGGCCAUCGCUCAACGGAUAAAAGGUACUCCGGGAUAACAGGCUGAUACCGCCCAAGAGUUCACAUCGACGGCGGUGUUUGGCACCUCGAUGUCGGCUCAUCACAUCCUGGGGCUGAAGCCGGUCCCAAGGGUAUGGCUGUUCGCCAUUUAAAGUGGUACGCGAGCUGGGUUUAGAACGUCGUGAGACAGUUCGGUCCCUAUCUGCCGUGGGCGUUGAGAUUUGAGAAGAGUUGUUCCUAGUACGAGAGGACCGGAAUGAACGAACCUCUGGUGUUCGGGUUGUCAUGCCAAUGGCAUUGCCCGGUAGCUACGUUCGGACGGGAUAACCGCUGAAAGCAUCUAAGCGGGAAGCCUCCUUCAAGAUGAGAUCUCCCUGGGACUUUAAGUCCCCUAAAGAGCCGUUGAAGACUACGACGUUGAUAGGUUGGGUGUGGAAGCGCAGCGAUGCGUUGAGCUAACCAAUACUAAUUGCUCGUGCGGCUUGACC
rnacentral:rRNA from 1 species